UUCACAAUGUAAGUCAUUCUAGCAUUUCCCACAUUUAUAUAUAAAUGUGGGAAAUGCUAGAAUGACUUACAUUGUGAAACGGUAUAAAUGUGGGAAAUGCUAGAAUGACUUACAUUGUGA
rnacentral:misc_RNA from 1 species